GGGGAAUCUUAGACAAUGGGGGAAACCCUGAUCUAGCCAUGCCGCGUGAGUGAUGAAGGCCUUAGGGUUGUAAAGCUCUUUCAGCUGGGAAGAUAAUGACGGUACCAGCAGAAGAAGCCCCGGCUAACUCCGUGCCAGCAGCCGCGGUAAUACGGAGGGGGCUAGCGUUGUUCGGAAUUACUGGGCGUAAAGCGCACGUAGGCGGACUGGAAAGUUGGAGGUGAAAUCCCAGGGCUCAACCUUGGAACUGCCUUCAAAACUAUCAGUCUGGAGUUCGAGAGAGGUGAGUGGAAUUCCGAGUGUAGAGGUGAAAUUCGUAGAUAUUCGGAGGAACACCAGUGGCGAAGGCGGCUCACUGGCUCGAUACUGACGCUGAGGUGCGAAAGCGUGGGGAGCAAAC
rnacentral:rRNA from 1 species